AAGUGUUAUCAUCAAAAUUAAAUAUGUCAUUAUUUCAACAAAUGGUUCAUUAACUAAUUCUUUGUAUGUUGAAAUAAUCAUCAACCUAAUCUUAAAAGGGGUUUACGAAUGAAUCAAAAUUUCAUACAACAACAAACCAAAUUUGAGCUUAGCUCAAGAGAUUGUACAUAAAUUGGCAAAAACAUAAAGAAUUACUGAAAUGAUGUGGUAAUUCACAAUUUUUAAGAAUGUGGUGUUACGUAACUAGAAUUAAACUAUUAAAUAUAGUCAAGGAACUUGAUUGUAUGCGCCUGAUUGACUUUUAAUAUGAUCCACAAUUAACCGAGGUUAAAUCUACACUAUAUUUUAUCCUCUCUCCUUUUCAAAAUGACUUUCUAAUAUUUCUUUUCUUUGCUCAUUAAAAUGGCACAUAGACCUAUUAAAAUACGACACGCAAUGGUGAAUAUUUUAUUUUGGAAGAAGGGGCUCAAAAUCACAUUGUUAGUUCUUCAUUAAAAUCGUGGAAAAAAGUUUUAUUUGCACAGUAUAACCCAGCUACUCCUGGUGACUCUACACAAAAUCUUCCCAGCUAGCUCAAAAAUUAUCAUGCCCUUGGCACUAUCAAUUUAAUAUAAUUUGAACUACUUCAUUUUCAAUUAGGAAAGUUUCUUAAUUAGUUGUCUAUAAUAGGUCAUGUUGACUAUAUUGAUUUUCUCAUUAUUCUACUUUAUUUAGUUUUUCUUGUUUAGAAUAUAGGCUGUAAUAUAUAUUAAGAGGACAAUGAUUAAUAAAAUUAAGCCUUUACAUAUUUCUUUUUGGUAUCAGAACCAACUAAACCCUAGCCUCCAACACUGCCUUCACAAUAGCCUAAACCCUAACCCACUAGCCACCAGCCAUAGGCCAACAACAGUCCUGCCUCUAUGCAUUCCCUGUGCAACCCAGUCCAACCAACAAUCACCAGACUCAACACUUGUAACAUCCUCUUCCCUUGUGCAGCCACCACUGCAGUCACCAGCAGCCCAACCCAACCCUCACACACAGAGCCCUUGCACAACAAGUCAUCUCGUGCAUAACCAUGCUUUGUACAGUCCAUCCUUGCGCCGUCUAGCACCGUUCAGGCCUUGCACAGGCAAGCUCUUGCACAGUCGCGCAGUCUAGCUUCGUUCAAGCCUCACACAGGCCAACGCAUACACCAUCAAGCAGUCCUGUAGGCCAGCCCAUGUGCCAUCCAGUAGCAUCAUAGUCCAGCAUAGCCGCAUAUUCCAGCAACCCCUACAUCGUCUAGUAGUCCUAUAGGCCAUCCCCUGCACUGUCUAGUACAUUUAGCAGCCGCGCAAUCUAGCACAGCCACACAGUCUAGCAACCAGUAGCCCCAUAAUCCAACAACCAGUAGUCAGUAGUCUAGCGCAGCCAUCAGUUGCACAGUGCAAUUCAGCCUCCAGUCAUUGCGUAGUCUAGUGUAGCCAGCAGUAGCUGCUCGUGCAGUCCAUAUAUCGUGAAGUCUAUAUGUCUGAUAGUAUGACACUUUAAAAAAAAUAUAUUCUCCUUUGAUUUCCUAAGAUUGAUUCUUGGUGUUACGUUGAUAGUUAACCCAGUCAAGGAGGUUGCCCCAGCCCAUAUGGUUUUGUGCCCAACUCCUAUCUACCUAUCUUUUAGUCCCACGGACGCUAUAGUUGCAGGUACUCUUAUCGCUUUUCAUGAUAAGUCAAGUCACCCCACUUGAAUUCUGAAUUUUGGAGCUAAUAAUAACAUGACUGGUGAGCUUUCUACUUUUACCUCUUCUAUUAGUUUCAUAAAUCAAUCUGUUUGUAUUGCUGAUGGACCAUCUAUUCCCAUUUAUAGUCAGGGUGAUGCCCACUUUUCCACAGAUAUUACUCUUUCCUCAAUUUAUUAUGCUCUGAAUUUUGCCUAUAAUUUUCUUUCUGUUAGUUGUCUUGCAAAAAACCUUAAUUGUGCCGUUGUAGUCUUACCAUCUCGUUGUUUCUUGCAGGACUUGAUUUCGAAGAAGAUUCUUGGCAGGGGAUAUGAGAGUGAUGAACUGUACUACUUUGGGGAUCCGCCAACAUCUAUUGCUUUGUCCUUCAAUCUUCAAGCCUCUACUCUACCAGUCUUAGAGCCCUCCAUUUUAAGUUAGUCUAUAUUAAAUUCGUUUGUUUGUUCUAUUAAAACUUUAAAUUAGUGGCAUGCUCAUUUAGGGUAUGCAAUUUUUUUGUAUUUAUGUUGCCUUUUCUCCCAUCUUAAAAAGGCAUGCCAGAAAGUUACUUUUAAAUGUUUCAUUUGUGAAUUGUCUAAACAUACUCGCACCUCUUAUAUUUCACGCAUGCAUUGUGCACCGAGUGCUUUUGACCUUAUUCACUCAGAUGUAUAGGGCCCGUCUCCAGUUACUUCUUUCUCUUAACACCAUUAUUAUAUCACCUUUAUGGAUGACUACACUAGGUGUACUUAGGUCUACUUGAUGCGCAAUAAAUCCGAGGCCUUUUUCCACUUUACUUAUUUUCUACAAAUGAUCAAAGGGGUAUUG
rnacentral:lncRNA from 1 species